GGGGGGAUGGCCAAGCGGCUAAGGCGAGCGGCUGCAACCCGCUUAUUCCUGGGUUCAAGUCCCAGUCCUCCCUCCA
rnacentral:tRNA from 1 species